AGAAAAGGAGAAGGGGAAGGAGGUCAAAUGGGUUUCCUUUUCUCAUCUUCUGCUUUUUCUUCUUCUCCUUCUUCUCCCUCUCCUUCUUUU
rnacentral:ribozyme from 1 species